CUCUGGGUGCACAAAAUAUUAUUUAUUGGGUCUAAUGCAUUUUGAAUCAAAUUUUCCUAGGGGUCCUGUAAAAUAAAGCCCUCUGUGUUCUGCACUCUCCCAGUACUCUUUUGCAAAAUGAAUCACUUUUCAAGAGGGUAAUUAGAGAGUACACAACACAGAGUGAGGUAUUUUACAGUACCCCAGAGGAAGAUUUCAUUCAAAAUGCAGUGGGCCUAAUAAAUGAUAUUUUGCGUAUUAGAGGU